CAGAUUUCCCUUCACUCAGGGUCAUGGCUGUUGCAAUCCCAGGUUUGGAACGCAGUUGGUUUUGUCUGAAACAAGACAAAAAAAAUACUGUCUCAUCUGCCAAGGGGCAGCACCUCCUCUUGCUCUGCAACAAUUUGCUGUGGUUCAGAAGGGAAGGAACCAGCAGCAGAGAGCCUGGGGCACCCAUUUCUCAGCUGGGGAAGAAAGUGUGUGUUUGUCCUUACAUUUCUUCUGGCCUCUUGGUUGUAGCUGAGUCAGACUCCUAGGAGGAUUUCUUAUAGGAGACAGAAGGGGACCAAAGCAUGCAUUCUGCCACCAUUGCACCAGUAAAAUAAGUAUAGGAGAGGAAACUCUCCACUGCAUUGAUAUUGUCACAGGUCUUGAUGUUUUGUGCUAAUAUAGAAUUAUGUAUCUCUGUUUGCAUACAUGUGUUUGUAUGUAUAGCAUACUUGUGUGGAUGCAUGUUUGUGUGUGUAGGUGUGGGCAUGACCUUGGGAAAUGGUAGUGUGUUGUAGGAAAGAGUAAAGCAUGGAUGUGUCACUGCACACAAUUCGUGUGUUACUGCAAGCUUUUUCCUGUGCAUGGGAGGGUGGAGAAAUGGAUGAGAGGGAACUGCUGUGUGUACCUGUGUUGCUGGGGAGCACUGUGCUCUUGCUCUCCAUCUCACACCACUGCACACAGCCAAGAAGGACAAAGGAACUGGCAAGGCAAUUGCUUUUACUCUGGCUUGUGGUUAAGGGAAGAUGAGCCAUUUUCCUGGCAGGAAGGAAUGGUGGGCAAGCUGGCUUUUCCUUUUUUUGCCCUCAUCUUUUAGGUGCUAGGGAGCACUACAGGCCAAUGGGAGGGGGUACCUCAGGGUUUUGCAGCUGGAAGCCCCUUCUGUACCACACAGUGAUACUGCUCCACAGAGUCACAAACAGGGUGCUGACAGAUAUGCAAGUCCCUGAUGUAACCCAUGGUGCUUCACAAAGAGUGCCAUGAGUAACAGUGCCCCCCUCCCCCCAACCCAACAGACAUUCACUGUUUAGUCAAGGGAUAGGGGGAAGGAAAAAUGAGCUCCACUUUGGACCCAAUCCAUGGAAGAGAGGCUGCAAACCCCUAGCCCCACCCCCUCCUCCCAGCUCCAGUGCUGUCUUCAGGAUGGGAGGGGGGAGGAAGGGGACGGUUCUCUCUCUGGGGUUUACCCAGCCUGCACUGGAUGGAGAGUGGGGCAGGUGGAUCAGAGCCCCCCUCAAGGUGGGGGGGCUCCAAUCCACCCACCCCAGCCUCCAGCACAGGCUGGCCAAACCCCAGAUGGAACUCCUUCUGCUCCCUUCCUCUCCUCCCAUCCUGAAAACAGCACUGGGGUAGGGAUAGGCUGUAUCAGCCCAGCCCUGCUCCCAGGCAGGGACAAACAGAAGUUAAUGAAGGCACUCUGCUUUGGAGCACCUUCAUCUGAACCCUCAUUUAAUGAGGGUCAAUUUGUCCCACGAUCAGGCACUUCUAAAGUGCUCUGCAGUCAUGUACUUCUCUCAGGGCACAGCUGUACAGCACUUUCAAGGGGCUGAUCAUGCAACAGACUUCAAAAUCUCCCCACCCAGACACCAACUCCUUGAGCUGCUCCUACCUUCCAGCCUGCUGCUAUGUAAGCCCUCACUUCACCAAGCAGAGAAAAAGGAGCUUUGAAGGAACAGUCCCCACAAAUCAAGGGGAGGAGAGUUGGGGGGGGGCUCCCUGUUUCUAACUGAUGGGGAGCUCUGUCCUUGCACUCCCACUACAUUAACCCAUCCCAAACACCAGGCAAGCCAUCAAAGUAAAAUAAGUUUUGCCUCCUCUGACUCAAGAGCUUCUGGAAAAAAGGCAAAUCCAUGUCUGGGUUUCUUGUUGUUAUUGCUCAGCAGUGAAUCAAGUCUCCAGAGGGGAAUUUCAUUCUAAUUCCAACACAAAGAGACAACUUUAAAAAGCUACAUGGAAAGUCAGUAGAGUCACCAGCAGUAGUUAUUUUUACAGUUUUCCAAGACAGAAAGUGUCCAACCCCUGCCCAUGUCUCCUCAGCCCCUCCCCUGUGCUCACCAUAACCACUACUUAUUAGUUGUUGCUGUUAUUAUUACUCUUUUAAUAUUUUUGCCAUCACACCCACAUUGUGAUAGGCACUGCCUACACACUGGAAGGUAUGAUUCUUGCCCCCAAAAGCUCAAAACCUGAAAUGAGCAGCAAAUAAAGGGUGUGUAUGUGCCAGAGACAUACAAUUAAGGGGGCAGAGCCUUGGACCUAAGCAUACGCCUUCUGUCCUGGAUAUAAAGCUACCCAAAAGGGCCUGAUUAGAAUUUGUAUGUGAUGCUGAGCUGACAUAAGCAUCUCAUCUAUGUGCCUCCAGUGUUAAUAUGCAAAAGGGCAGAGCCAGAGCCCCAGCGACCCUUGACUAUUCCAAGAUGUGGUAACUUAAAACUGUCCUAGAGCCAAACUAGCUCUCAUCUGCCCUUGAGGUUAAGAGUAUCCAAAGAAGCCUUUAAGCCAUCUUUGCAACCCUUCCCUCCCCCUCCCCCCAGCUUGGGUCCUAAGCUGAAUAGCUGGACCAACCAUCUGAGUUAACAGCUAAAAGAAAGUGGAUCAUUUUUGUUACAGAAACAUCAACUAUCCCAAACUGCCCCUCUGCUUAGCCACACGGGAGGCUGGUUAUUCCAGUGUAAAAGUGAGUUAUGAAGAUGCACCUGAAGGAGAGACUAGUGGCCUUAGAGAGCGCUAUAAAAGGAGAAAGCAUAGAAGGAAGCAGAAAGAUGGUUGUGGGAGAAGAAACCCACUAGAUAGUCAAACCUGCCUUAGCUGGCAGAACAGAUGGAGUGAGGGAGCACUUCAUAAGAACAACUGUAUAUGAGCAGUGAGGAGCAGAUCUGUGAAUGCCCUUUACAUGAAGAUUAAAUUUACCAUGAUGGAGACAGUGGGGUUGGGAUGACAAGGUACACAGUGGAGGCAUUUAGAGAUGGGAGCAGUAUGCUCAGAGCAAGGAGGGGGAGGUGAUCUUAGCAGCUGGACUCCAAGGAUGUAAAGUAUGUGCUGAGCAGGCUGAGGCUGUGGCAGUCAAGGUGGCAGAUACUGACUGGGGUAAUGAGGAGGCCUUCACAAUCAGACUGGCAUCUAUUCAGAUCCCACCAUAACAUACCCAGUGCCCCAUUCUAGUUUCAUGAAGCCCAAAGGACCAAUGUUCCAGAGAGAAGAGAUCCCCUGGCCACCUCUAUGCAAUGGGGAAAGGCUAGUCUUGGAGAAAGGCAGGGCACUGGGAGCCUGAAAUGUCUACACCCAAUCCAUGGGUGUUUUGUGAGGGCCUGGGUAAAUCACUACCCUUCUCUGCCCUUCAGCUCCCGUUCAGUAAAUUAUGCAAAUGGCAGUGACUCUGCUCUCAGUUGUAAUGAAUGUCAUAUAGUGUUGUAUGGUCCUUUGAGAUCCUCAGAGAGAAGCAGGUAGAAAAGAGCAAAGGGUUAAUAUUACAGUUCAACGGAGCUUUUUUUUGCAUGAAAGCAGGGGCCUGAUGAGGAAUCCCAUUCCAGUUCCAUCCCUAGCAUAUUCCAGCAAGCCUCUGAUCUUUCCUAACCCCAGUCCUGGGGCCUUCAGAAAGCAAGACAAGUGGUUCAGUUUGUUUUGACAGGACUGGACUCUGUCUGAAAAUACUAGGAAGCCUCCUGAGUCAGCAGCUCACUUGCUCCUACUCUCGGAAUAGCUGAGAUUCCCGGACACAGUAAUUUGACUCCGCUCCUGGCUGAGGGCAGCCGCUAGCUGAAAGGCAAAAUACAAUCCCCUCCUGGCCCAUUAAGAGGCCUAUUCUAGGAUCAGGAGAAACCAGUCUGACUGAUGAACUCCCUUGGCUCAGGGGCUCUGGGCUGGGGCUGCUGGGAGAGUUAUUCUUUCCUUAUUCAGCAGACGAAACGAAGUUAAUGGAGAGCAUAUGGGGGCGGGGGGGAAGUACUCUAGAUAGGACUGGAAUACAGCCAGACUGAAUUCAACCCCCAAGAAACCUACCCUCCAGCCACGCAACACAGAAACAGGAAAGGAAAAGAUGAGAAAACCACCUGCGGUAUGGGGCAGCUAGGAAACACCACUUCAGCCCUUCUUCUCUCUGCUGUCUGCCCCUACACACAUGAUAAAGGAACUAGUGUUACCACCUUUUCAUAAUGUCACAAAGUUUGGAUUGUAAACUCUUCCAUGCAGAAACAUGCCUUAGUGAGGGGCCUGAUCCUGGAAGCCUGACUACAGACUUCAACGGAAGCAGAAGCAGGUUCUGUGUCUGUAAAGUUCUGUAUUACUUGUGUUGCUGUAGAAGUGAUUGACUAUGGCACUCAUACAAGUCAGAGAUGGAAAAGCCCAAUUAACUCCUCCAGUCUAUCUACCAGGGCCAAGGCAGGAUUUUUUCACUUUGCACACUUCCUAGAUUUCUACCCAGCCAAAUUUUAAAUGUCCUAAGCAGUGAGGUUCCUGCUUUUUAUCUUUUGUUCUCAUUUAAAGAGGAGCCCCUGGCAUGAUUAGCAUAUUCCUUAUUAUACUAUUGCUGUGAUCUGUAGAGAUGGGGUGGACAAAGUACAUCCCAGGUGGCCCACCACUGCCCUUACCUUCAAAAAGAGUGGCUUGUGAGGAUGAUAGGUUUCAGCUUCCAAUAUGUCAGCUUAAGUUGAGAACUGAGAGGCUUUGUACUAAAGAUGAGGGCAGCUGAAAUCUGCUCCAAUUAGAGAAAUUAGGUAGGGCCUUCUGGCUCCUGCUGAUUUGCUAAUGGAGCACUGAGAGGUUUGUGUGUGUAGACAGGAGGGCAUUAUGGACUGGAGCCAGGUAAAAUCCUAGGCUCACUCAGCAGUGGAGAAGGUUCAGGAUGGGACUGCAGGUUUUCCUCCCCACCUUCAUAACCAAAAACAUCAGAAGCCAGAACUAAAACAUUCUUCUGGAGGGAACUCCAGCUGCAGAGUUUUCUGUCACAGGUGGUCAGGCCUUGCUUGUGUCUCCCUGCAUUCAGAGAAUACAAGAUGCUUCCUUAUGUAUGUGCCCCCUCUAUUCAGUUGUUUACGAAAGGGUCUGUAGGUAUCGCCCCCUCCCUCACCUACAGCCCUGUGAUCCUUCUGCAAAACAACUUAUCACAACAACUAAAGCCUUGAUUCUCUGUUAAAAUAUAGUGUAGAGUGAUGGCUGCCAAAGGCGACUCGCAACUUCCUUAUCCUUGGCUUUCUGACUCCAGUGCAAUUCACGACCAUGGGGAAGUUGCUGUAGUUUACACUGCUGGUGUGGGCUCUGUACCCACCAAGGGAGGGUCCAGUGUUGAAGAGCUUUUGGCUCCACCCUGCAACAUUUCCUCUUCCCCUCAUGCUGGCAGGGGGAGGGGGGAUAAGGACGGAUUGCUGUACAGAAGAGGGAGCUAUGCCACCUGCACCAGAUUAACACUGACAGAGCUAGAAGGAAUUUUCCUGUGGGAAUCUCCUGCUGAUCUGAGUUCACUUUUGUGCUGCAUAAGCAACGCAAAGUGAAUUUAGCAGAGACCAGAGAAACGAGACUGAAGUGCCUUAGGGGGGACAGAGGAUAUGGUACAAAUGGAACUGCAAUAAUGUCGCUUCUAAUUCUUGUAAUCUGUCACCUAGCUACUGCAGCGAUUGGCACAUUAGAAAUCCACAGAGAGAUUAGAUGUGAUUUGAUCAAACCAGUGGCAGCCCAAACACCAGGAUACUCACAGGUUCUAUUCAGACAAGUAUCUGAAAUGUAGUGACUGCAUCUCCAAAUCUCUUUUGUCUAGAAAUGGGGCAUCUCCUGAGGUUGGUUUUUCUCCUGGUAUUUCUCAUUCCCUACAGUUCCCUGUGGGUCAGAAAUACCAUGAGAAAAAGCCUCAUUCACAGCAUUUUAAUAAUUCCACAUCCAGUCUCAGCAGGAGAUGAGAAACCUAGACACUAUGGCUAGGAGGGUGGGAGGAGAAGACAGCAGAGCUUAGUCAGAGAUGAAUAGAAAUUCCUUGGUAAAGGACAGAACAGAUUUGGAACCUUUUAUAUUUGGGUCACUAAUUCAGAUCUAUCCUAUUGCAGUAGUAGCUGCAAGUUGGUGGAUUGUUACUGGCUUACUUGAAAUUAAUUAUGAGGUCUGCAGCUGGCUCCCACUGGAGAAAUGUCCACAGUAUUCUAGGUAGCAGAUCUGCCUGAAUGAAAAUGACACCAAGCUGGCACAUAAGGAAAGUUUGGCAAUGUUCAUCACAACUGAAUUAACUGUAAAAAAAAGAGGGCUUAGGAUGGGAAACUGGCAGAUUUUCUUCCCAACUCCCCAAAAGGAGGAGGAUUUAUCAAUGAUUUUCAAAUUUUUAACUGAUGUUCUAAUUUUCUUCAUGAAAACCCUUCAAACCGAUGCUCAGUAAGUCUCUAUAGCACACAGUAAAAAUAGUUCACACAGGCUGUAGAACCACUUCUCUGAAUUUGUACAAUGCAUGCUUAUGGUCAAAACUGUCAGGCUUUGAAAAAUUUAUGUACCUUUCCAACCAUCCCAAAAAGGCAGUAAAUCUAGAUUAUGUAUUGAAAUUGCUCAGGGACGCUGGGUAUUUCUACCUCAGAAGACCAAAUUAUUUUACUGCCCUACUCCAUUUUUCACAUUCUUUUACUAAAAGCUAAUCUUUUUCAUUUGUGGCUGUUCGUAUUUUACAAUCCGGUUGCUCAUUUCUAAUCAAAAUGGGAAUCUGAGCAGUUCAAUGCACCUGGUGCCAUUGGUCUCCUGAAUCAUUACUGCCUUGCUCCAGGCAGGGACAGUGACAGCAUCUGGGUUCUCCCUCCCUGCAUUUGCUCCGGACUGGUAGGGAACACCUGGGAGAACUGGUCAGAGAGGAGUAACCAGCCAGCUGCUGCUGCUGUUCCUGGCCAGAGUGGCUCUGGAGCACCUUUCCCCAUGCCCGAUCAGCCAAGGACAGCAGCAACAGUGAGCAGGAAAGGGGGCAGAAAGGGGAUGUGCUGCUGAGUAUGGAGGGGAAGGGGUUGGGUGCCAAGAGUGGGAGGGAGUUUGUGGGGGGCAGGAUUUUUACCUGAAUGGCUCCCACUUCUGCCCACUCCAAUGGGAGGAAACCUGGGACAGAGGGUUUGGAUCAUAGAGUCCUGGCUUAAUUCUAGAGCAUCCCCUUGCCCUGCAUAUAUGGAGGUUGGGGGGUGAGCAGCAGUGCCUAGAGGACUGACCAGACACCAGGCAUGGAGUACUCUGUGCCCCUGCAUAAUACUGAACAUGUUCAAGGAGGACCGGCUCCAAAUAGUACAUGAUUUUUCUGGUGUGCUCUUGAAAUGUUCCAGGCAGUUCAAGCUGGUUAAAAGUGUCCUGUGAAUCUGGACUCUUGUGGCACCUAUACACAAGGAGGCUACUCCAAUGUGCUGUACUUACAAUGUGUCAGAGCAGACUCAAUUAACUGAGUCUGGAGCUUGGUAAUUAUCACACUCCAGCAGACCGCAGCAUCUCAACAAGAAAUAAUGGCCAUAAGCUAGCAGAGAGCAGAUUUAGAUUGGACAUUAGGAAGAACUUAUUCACAGUUAGAGUGGCCAAGGUCUGGAACGGGCUCCCAAGGGAGGUGGUGCUCUCCCCUACCCUGGGGGUCUUCAAGGGGAGGUUAGAUAGGCAUCUAGUUGGGGUCAUCUAAACCCAGCACUCUUUCCUGCCUAUGCAGGGGGUUGGACUCGAUGAUCUAUUGAGGUCCCUUCCGACCCUAACAUCUAUGAAUCUCAUGUAUCAGUGUCACCGCACUGAAAAAUGGCAGUGGGGUCAUUUUAACUAACGGUCGUUUGAGGGGCUUGAAUUAAAGCACCCCCGCUGCCAUUUUUCAGCACAGGGACACUAAAACACACAACACUCCGGGUGCUUUAAUUAGAGUGGCUCUUGGAGCUGCUCAAAUUAAAGUGUCCCAGUGCUGCACCCUCCCCCCAAACACAUGUAUAAACUCCCUUAAGGGCUUAAAGCACAUUUAGAACAUUCUCAAUGUUACAUCUGCCCACCUUUAGUGAUACUCUCUGUUGUCUUCCCCAAGAAUGGGGGGAAGGAGCACAUUCCUUUAGAUUUGGAACUCAUUAGAAAUGGCCAAAAUUCUUUUGGAUUUAUGUUGAAAUCACAUCAAAAUAUAAAGGACAUGAAGUUUCAAUGCAUCACAUUAAAUCAAACCCAAAUACACUCAGAAAGGGAGAGAGAGAGAGAGUUUUCAAUUAAUUUGGGCCCAAUUGCAAACAGGUAACAAACCUGAAACCAGGCAAAUUUUGAGUGGUUUCAGGUUUUGUUAUAAGACUGUCACAGUGCUUUAGUCCUCAUUCUCCUAGGUUCAUUACACGUUGAACAGAACUUCCCCAAAAGCAAGAUGUUAACCCUGGCCUCCUCUCUGAGCAGAAUGCACCAGCCAAGUAAGGCCAUCCCUACUGUGUUGCAAAAGUAAUGUAAUCUAAUGAUCAUAAGCACAUACAUCCUCCACAGAGAAAGGGAAAGCACAAUAGGAGCUAAAAGCACUUUCCUUCUGGGAAAGAUACAAACUGGCUCUUUCAGCUUGUCUCUCAGAUUCAAAGUGCCAGUUACUGUACCAGAGCAUUCAGGGAAAGGCUCCUCUCUUUUCCUAGUGCUAAUUCUCCACCCCUCUCCUCUAUUAAUGAAGCCAGUUUCAAUUACCCAUUGAGAUAUCUUCACAAACGCCUAUGAGAUCUUCUAUGCCACUUCUUGGCAUAAAAACUUCUCCCUUUGCAAGGCUAGUGAGCCACUGCCACUAACCUGUCCUAAGAAUCCACUUCUGCCAAGAUGCCUCCAUGAUGAGAUAUAAAUUACCAACCAAUAAUGAAUAGGCAGGGAAUUCCCAUAUGUUGGGUAUAUAUUUGUAGCCAAUGUGAGGCCUAUCACUCAGUUUAAUGCUAUAUCUCUGUCUCUUUUUUGCCUAUAAUACGAUAAUGUGUGAAGACUAUGUUCAACCAAUUCCAAAAUCCCUUGGAAAGUUCUAGGUAUCAGUGAGAGGAACCAUACCAAUCGUGGAAAAAAAUGUAAAGUUGCAACACUAGACAAUCCUGUUGUCUUGGCCAUUUGUUGCUACAGGGAAGGAAACAUUAUGACAUCACAGGAGCCUCCACCAGUCACCUUCCUUCUACUUUAAUUGAAUGUUUCAAUAACAUUGGCAGAAAUUAGUCAGGAAAUGAGAUAGCAAGUCAGGACUAACAUGCUUUGAUAUAGUUGGAGUGUCACAGAGGUUCAGUGGCAGAGGAGCAGGGGCUCCAAUACUGGCUGAACCAUAGGCACCGACUUUUAUUUUUGCCAGGGGGGAGUCUAAAAUGAUUGACAUGUGGAACGUUUUAUGCAUUUCAGGUGACAGCCCUCUUCCCAAGAUGGGCCAGGGCCCUCAGGCCUCCAUGUACUUGGCACCUCUGUGUCACAACCCAAAGGUGUGAUUUUUUGUUUGUGUGCGCGCUUCGGCACCGCUAAAUUAUUUUCCCGCCAAUUUGUCGCUUUCUUUGCACGGUAGAGUUCUCUGCUGCUAGAGAGAACUCUAGUGCAGCGGGGAAUUUCCCGCCAGAUUACAGCUUCUUUGCAGUGUGCAUCUCUUUUGCAUCAUAGUGAUACACGCUGUAAAGAAGUUCCCGCCAUUUGUAUUAGGAUUCGCGCCACAUUAUUGGCCCAUUCCUAAUGUAGGCACACGUGGCGGCUAGUGAUUGGCUUGCUAGCCGUACAAAAGGCUUGGGUAGUUUCCGCCCAAGUCGGAGGAGGGAGGAUGAGAGAGAUUCUGUGUGAAGAUCUCCAAGCGCUGCGGACCCUCGCGGACCCGACGCGCCUCCCCUAAGCAGGCAAUGGAGGCAAUAGAACCGAGCCUACGGAGCUUUCACUUCUAGCCUCUCCCCAUCGCUGAGUGCAAUCCUAGACGUAUCCCUUUCCUGUAACUUCAGACCCGCAGAGCCUAAGUAACUCCGGGGAAACUUUUCAAGUCUAACCGAACCAGACCCGCGGAGCCUGAACAACUCUGUGGUAGCAAUCGAUUUGUCAUGUUCCUCUAGUGAGGAUCCAAGCGGGAGCUGUGCCUGGAAAUCUGUCCAGCCUACACCAAUACCAUCUUUGGGUGUAAGUAAACAAUCUUUUCAAUCAA